UGGCGGCAGGCCUAACACAUGCAAGUCGAGCGGUAGCACAGAGAGCUUGCUCUCGGGUGACGAGCGGCGGACGGGUGAGUAAUGUCUGGGAAACUGCCUGAUGGAGGGGGAUAACUACUGGAAACGGUAGCUAAUACCGCAUAACGUCGCAAGACCAAAGUGGGGGACCUUCGGGCCUCAUGCCAUCAGAUGUGCCCAGAUGGGAUUAGCUAGUAGGUGGGGUAACGGCUCACCUAGGCGACGAUCCCUAGCUGGUCUGAGAGGAUGACCAGCCACACUGGAACUGAGACACGGUCCAGACUCCUACGGGAGGCAGCAGUGGGGAAUAUUGCACAAUGGGCGCAAGCCUGAUGCAGCCAUGCCGCGUGUGUGAAGAAGGCCUUCGGGUUGUAAAGCACUUUCAGCGGGGAGGAAGGCGUUAAGGUUAAUAACCUCAUCGAUUGACGUUACCCGCAGAAGAAGCACCGGCUAACUCCGUGCCAGCAGCCGCGGUAAUACGGAGGGUGCAAGCGUUAAUCGGAAUUACUGGGCGUAAAGCGCACGCAGGCGGUCUGUCAAGUCGGAUGUGAAAUCCCCGGGCUCAACCUGGGAACUGCAUUCGAAACUGGCAGGCUAGAGUCUUGUAGAGGGGGGUAGAAUUCCAGGUGUAGCGGUGAAAUGCGUAGAGAUCUGGAGGAAUACCGGUGGCGAAGGCGGCCCCCUGGACAAAGACUGACGCUCAGGUGCGAAAGCGUGGGGAGCAAACAGGAUUAGAUACCCUGGUAGUCCACGCCGUAAACGAUGUCGAUUUGGAGGUUGUGCCCUUGAGGCGUGGCUUCCGGAGCUAACGCGUUAAAUCGACCGCCUGGGGAGUACGGCCGCAAGGUUAAAACUCAAAUGAAUUGACGGGGGCCCGCACAAGCGGUGGAGCAUGUGGUUUAAUUCGAUGCAACGCGAAGAACCUUACCUGGUCUUGACAUCCACAGAACUUAGCAGAGAUGCUUUGGUGCCUUCGGGAACUGUGAGACAGGUGCUGCAUGGCUGUCGUCAGCUCGUGUUGUGAAAUGUUGGGUUAAGUCCCGCAACGAGCGCAACCCUUAUCCUUUGUUGCCAGCGGUCCGGCCGGGAACUCAAAGGAGACUGCCAGUGAUAAACUGGAGGAAGGUGGGGAUGACGUCAAGUCAUCAUGGCCCUUACGACCAGGGCUACACACGUGCUACAAUGGCAUAUACAAAGAGAAGCGACCUCGCGAGAGCAAGCGGACCUCAUAAAGUAUGUCGUAGUCCGGAUUGGAGUCUGCAACUCGACUCCAUGAAGUCGGAAUCGCUAGUAAUCGUAGAUCAGAAUGCUACGGUGAAUACGUUCCCGGGCCUUGUACACACCGCCCGUCACACCAUGGGAGUGGGUUGCAAAAGAAGUAGGUAGCUUAACCUUCGGGAGGGCGCUUACCACUUUGUGAUUCA
rnacentral:rRNA from 1 species